GAGGAUGUGGAGAAGGGUGAAUAUGAGGGGCUGGAGAAUGCAAAGGAUACUUAGAGAAUGGUGUGGUUGUCUGGAAUUUUCCAAAGCCUGAUGCCUAACUGUCCUACUGAAGCUAAUAACUUCAAGAUGAGCCCAGAGAACUCCUUUUUCUUACAAAUGUCCUUGGACACUAUGUGACAGAUGACAGAGUACAACAGAAUAGAGACAGUUGAUCCAAUCUGAGAGGGGCUACAGCUUUUGGUCAUAUGAGGCAUGUA